UACGUAGGGACCAAGCGUUGUCCGGAAUCAUUGGGCGUAAAGCGCGUGUAGGCGGUCCGGUAAGUCCGCUGUGAAAGUCGGGGGCUCAACCCUCGAAUGCCGGUGGAUACUGUCGGGCUAGAGUACGGAAGAGGCGAGUGGAAUUCCUGGUGUAGCGGUGAAAUGCGCAGAUAUCAGGAGGAACACCAAUUGCGAAGGCAGCUCGCUGGGACGUUACUGACGCUGAGACGCGAAAGCGUGGGGAGCAAACAGG
rnacentral:rRNA from 1 species